rnacentral:rRNA from 1 species
AGUGAACGCUGGCGGUAGGCCUAACACAUGCAAGUCGAACGGCAGCACAGUAAGAGCUUGCUCUUACGGGUGGCGAGUGGCGGACGGGUGAGGAAUACAUCGGAAUCUACUUUUUCGUGGGGGAUAACGUAGGGAAACUUACGCUAAUACCGCAUACGACCUACGGGUGAAAGCAGGGGAUCUUCGGACCUUGCGCGAUUGAAUGAGCCGAUGUCGGAUUAGCUAGUUGGCGGGGUAAAGGCCCACCAAGGCGACGAUCCGUAGCUGGUCUGAGAGGAUGAUCAGCCACACUGGAACUGAGACACGGUCCAGACUCCUACGGGAGGCAGCAGUGGGGAAUAUUGGACAAUGGGCGCAAGCCUGGUCCAGCCAUACCGCGUGGGUGAAGAAGGCCUUCGGGUUUUAAAGCCCUUUUGUUGGGAAAGAAAAGCAGCAGGUUAAUACCCCGCUGUUCUGACGGUACCCAAAGAAUAAGCACCGGCUAACUUCGUG